AACGAACGCUGGCGGCAUGCCUAACACAUGCAAGUCGAACGAGACCUUCGGGUCUAGUGGCGCACGGGUGCGUAACGCGUGGGGACCUGCCCUUAGGUUCGGAAUAACUCCCCGAAAGGGGUGCUAAUACCGGAUAAUGUCUUCGGACCAAAGAUUUAUCGCCUUUGGAUGGGCCCGCGUUGGAUUAGCUAGUUGGUAGGGUAAAAGCCUACCAAGGCGACGAUCCAUAGCUGGUCUGAGAGGAUGAUCAGCCACACUGGGACUGAGACACGGCCCAGACUCCUACGGGAGGCAGCAGUGGGGAAUAUUGGACAAUGGGCGAAAGCCUGAUCCAGCAAUGCCGCGUGAGUGAUGAAGGCCUUAGGGUUGUAAAGCUCUUUUAACCGGGAUGAUAAUGACAGUACCGGGAGAAUAAGCGCCGGCUAACUCCGUG
rnacentral:rRNA from 1 species